rnacentral:rRNA from 1 species
UACGAAGGGGGCUAGCGUUGUUCGGAUUUACUGGGCGUAAAGCGCACGUAGGCGGAUCGUUAAGUUAGGGGUGAAAUCCUGGAGCUCAACUCCAGAACUGCCUCUAAUACUGGCGAUCUAGAGUCCGGAAGAGGUGAGUGGAACUCCUAGUGUAGAGGUGGAAUUCGUAGAUAUUAGGAAGAACACCAGUGGCGAAGGCGGCUCACUGGUCCGGUACUGACGCUGAGGUGCGAAAGCGUGGGAGCAAACAGG